rfam:Trametes versicolor FP-101664 SS1 unplaced genomic scaffold TRAVEscaffold_10, whole genome shotgun sequence.
GGUGCUAUAGUGUAGUGGUUAUCACUCGGGAUUUUGAUGUACCCAGUGUUUCCAUCGACUUUCCCGAAACCCAGGUUCGAACCCUGGUAGCACCU